UCGGGAAUUUUGGGCAAUGGGCGAAAGCCUGACCCAGCAACGCCGCGUGCGGGAUGAAGGCCCUUUGGGUUGUAAACCGCUGUCAAGGGAGGGGAAACACCUAGUGUUAACAGCGCUAGGCUUGACUGCUCCCUAAAGGAAGCCCCGGCAAACAUGUGCCAGCAGCCGCGGUAAUACAUGUGGGGCAAGCGUUGUUCGGAAUUACUGGGCAUAAAGGGUGCGUAGGCGGUUUGUUAAGUCACUGGUGAAAGUUUGCGGCCCAACCGUAAAAUUGCCUGUGAUACUGGCGAACUUGAGUGCGUGAGGGGUAGGGGAACGAGCAGUGUAGCGGUGAAAUGCAUAGAUAUCGUCAAGAACACCGAUAGCGAAGGCAGCUUACCAAGCUGUAACUGACACUGAGGCACGAAAGUGUGGGGAUCGAAACAGGAUUAGAUACCCGAGUAGUCCCUGAGCGGGCUGGCAAGGCG
rnacentral:rRNA from 1 species